CACUGUGAUGUUGAAACCGAACGAGCAGUUUUAGCAUCAUUUCGGCCCGAACAACAACUAGUGAAUAGUGCAUUUCUUCUGCUAAAAACAGCUGCUUCAACACCAUCAGUGUGACACAUCAGGUGUUUCUGUAGGGUGUUGCAAACCUUUCACUUAGUGCUGUUCUGCACCCUUGGCUGAACAUACGCACACAGACAUGACACCUUUGGUGCCUAUAGAACUGGAGGUGGGUCUUCUUGCUGUGCAUUAAGGCGUAGAGGCAUCCUGUUUACAAAAACAUUCCCCUUGAGAAAAUGGCACAGUCCUCUGUCAUAUCCAGGAUUACCAUGUAACACACUCACUAAGGGGGAAUUCAAGCCACUGCUGUCUGUUGUGUCACAAGAUAGAACCUUCAAGUCCCAUGCAUGCGGAGGCACAAAGAGGAACUGCUAUGAUCCUCUAGACUGUCUGGGCCACUGAAAUGGUAAAGCUUCCAACUGUUUGAGCCUCUGAUGCGACUGCUACAGGAAAGAGACACUUUGGAUGUGGCUAUCUAUCUACCUAUACAUCUAACUAUCUACCUACCUAUCUCCCAUUUCCUGUAUAUGCUGUUAGUUCACAUAUCUUUCUCCUCUCGUGGUGCUUAGCCCUCUGAUGUAUUUCCAGAAAGCAAUCAGACCGCAUCCCAGCCUUUCUUUCACUAUGAUAAACAAGACAAGCUCCUUCACGCCUGCUCUACAAGAGCAAUUUCCCCCAUUUCGUCCAGGUGCCUGCUCUACCCAUGCGCAAGUUUGAAUGCUCAAACAUGAAUGAACAAAGUUUCCAGAUAACAUCUUACCAAUACUCUUGGCAAAUAGCAUUAAUGUUUUCCCAUUUUAAAAAAGAACUUCCCUCACCUGAUUCAUCCCGAGAUUACUUGUCCCUUUUUGUGUUCAGGUCACUUUGUUCCUCUGACUGUAUCCUGUGGGUGACUGGCCUUUUUGUUGGGGUGUGGUUUUUUGUUUGUUUUUUUGGUUUGGUUUGGGUUUUUUUGGUGGUUGUUGUGCCCUGAUGAGGAACACCACUUUACAACAGAAAUUCAUGUUCUUUGACCCAGAGGAUGGAAUUAAUCUCCUCUGUCUUCAGGCACUUUUAGAAAGUGAUUUAGUCUGUCCCGAGAGAGGAGUCCAAGACAGGUGGGAUAAAUGAGCGCUAAAAAGUUCCCAUUUCUAUAUGUUGAAUAGAGGUGCCUUGAAAGCUGCUGUAGUGAAAAGCAUUUCAUCAACAGAUUAUGGGGAUACAGUGUUGCGCUCCCCCUCCCCUAGAAAAGAACAAAACCACUUACUGAACAUUUCUGGAUUUUCUGCAUUAUUUCUAAUUUUCCUCUAAUAAUGGCUAAAUACAUUGUUUGUGGUCCUCUCUGGUCAUUACUUUUGGCCCUUGGUUUUAUAUAUAGACAUAUAAAAAAAUUAUAAUUAAUGUAUUUGUGAUGUCUGGAUUCGUUCCUUACCCCCUCCUACUCAGAACAAAGAAUAUUUUCUUAAUUUUUAACAUCCAAAUUAAUUAUUUCUUAAGGCAAUACAAAGGAGAAAAAAAGCCCCUACUACUAAGGAUGUACAAAGUAAUAUAUGUAUUUUUUGAAGAUAUCUAUUGAAAACUUUUCCAAUUAACUGUCCUUUAUUAAAUUUCUUCAC